UACGGGGGGGGCAAGCGUUGUUCGGAAUUACUGGGCGUAAAGGGCGCGUAGGCGGUUCGCUAAGUUGGAUGUGAAAACUCUGGGCUCAACCCAGAGCCUGCAUCCAAAACUGGCGGGCUAGAGUUCUGGAGGGGUAGCGGAAUUCCUGGUGUAGCGGUGAAAUGCGCAGAUAUCAGGAAGAACACCCGUGGCGAAGGCGGCUCUCUGGGACGGUACUGACGCUGAGACGCGAAAGCGUGGGGAGCGAACAGG
rnacentral:rRNA from 1 species